AUAAAUAACGAAGGAUAAGU
rnacentral:tRNA from 1 species